CGCGCAGGCGGCUUGGUAAGUCAGAUGUGAAAUCCCUGGGCUUAACCCAGGAAGUGCAUUUGAUACUGCCUCGCUAGAGUACGGGAGAGGAAAGUGGAAUUCCUGGUGUAGAGGUGAAAUUCGUAGAUAUCAGGAGGAACACCGGUGGCGAAGGCGACUUUCUGGCCCGAUACUGACGCUCAGGCGCGAAAGCGUGGGGAGCAAACAG
rnacentral:rRNA from 1 species